AUGAACGCUGGCGGCGUGCCUAAUCCAUGCAAGUCGAGCGAACAGACGAGGAGCUUGCUCCUCUGACGUUAGCGGCGGACGGGUGAGUAACACGUGGAUAACCUACCUAUAAGACUGGGAUAACUUCGGGAAACCGGAGCUAAUACCGGAUAAUAUAUUGAACCGCAUGGUUCAAUAGUGAAAGACGGGUUUGCUGUCACUUAUAGAUGGAUCCGCGCCGCAUUAGCUAGUUGGUAAGGUAACGGCUUACCAAGGCGACGAUGCGUAGCCGACCUGAGAGGGUGAUCGGCCACACUGGAACUGAGACACGGUCCAGACUCCUACGGGAGGCAGCAGUAGGGAAUCUUCCGCAAUGGGCGAAAGCCUGACGGAGCAACGCCGCGUGAGUGAUGAAGGUCUUCGGAUCGUAAAACUCUGUUAUUAGGGAAGAACAAAUGUGUAAGUAACUAUGCACGUCUUGACGGUACCUAAUCAGAAAGCCACGGCUAACUACGUG
rnacentral:rRNA from 1 species